rnacentral:rRNA from 1 species
GGCCUACCAUGGUGGUAACGGGUAACGGGGUGUUAGGGCACGACACCGGAGAGGGAGCCUGAGAAACGGCUACCACAUCCAAGGAAGGCAGCAGGCGCGCAAAUUACCCAAUCCCGACACGGGGAGGUAGUGACAAUAAAUAACAAUACAGGGCUCUUUUGGGUCUUGUAAUUGGAAUGAGUACAAUUUAAAUCUCUUAACGAGGAACAAUUGGAGGGCAAGUCUGGUGCCAGCAGCCGCGGUAAUUCCAGCUCCAAUAGCGUAUAUUAAAGUUGUUGCAGUUAAAAAGCUCGUAGUUGAAUUUCGGGAUCAAUAUGUCGGUCGUGCCUUCGGUACGUACUGGUAUCAUUGGUCUCUCCUUUCUGACGAACCAUGAUGUCAUUAAUUUGGUGUUAUGGGGAGUUAGGACUGUUACUUUGAAAAAAUUAGAGUGUUUAAAGCAGGCUUUAGCUUGAAUACAUUAGCAUGGAAUAAUGAAAUAGGACGUUCGAACCUAUUUUGUUGGUUUCUAGGAUCAACGUAAUGAUUAAUAGGGAUAGUUGGGGGCAUUAGUAUUCAAUUGUCAGAGGCGAAAUUCUUGGAUUUAUUGAAGACUAACUACUGCGAAAGCAUUUGCCAAGGAUGUUUUCAUUAAUCAAGAACGAAAGUUAGGGGAUCGAAGACGAUCAGAUACCGUCGUAGUCUUAACCAUAAACUAUGCCGACUAGGGAUCGGAUGAUGUUAAUUUUUUAAUGACUCAUUCGGCGCCUUACG